GGAGAGAUGGCCGAGCGGCCGAAGGCGCACGCCUGGAACGCGUGUAAUGGCAACCCCAUUCGUGGGUUCAAAUCCCACUCUCUCCG
rnacentral:tRNA from 1 species